rnacentral:rRNA from 1 species
UACAUGUGGGGCAAGCGUUGUUCGGAAUUACUGGGUUUAAAGGGUGCGUAGGCGGCCAAGUAAGUCAGGAGUGAAAGUUUGCGGCUCAACCGUAAAAUUGCUUUUGAUACUGCUUAGCUAGAAUCAGGAUGAGGUUAGCGGAAUGUGGCAUGUAGCGGUGAAAUGCAUAGAUAUGCCAUAGAACACCAAUUGCGAAGGCAGCUGGCUAGACCUGUAUUGACGCUGAGGCACGAAAGCGUGGGGAGCGAACAGG